rnacentral:rRNA from 1 species
ACGUACACUCCUGCGGGAGGCAGCAGUGGGGAAUAUUGCACAAUGGGCGCAAGCCUGAUGCAGCCAUGCCGCGUGUAUGAAGAAGGCCUUCGGGUUGUAAAGUACUUUCAGCGGGGAGGAAGGCAAUACGGUUAAUAACCGUGUUGAUUGACGUUACCCGCAGAAGAAGCACCGGCUAACUCCGUGCCAGCAGCCGCGGUAAUACGGAGGGUGCAAGCGUUAAUCGGAAUUACUGGGCGUAAAGCGCACGCAGGCGGUCUGUCAAGUCGGAUGUGAAAUCCCCGGGCUCAACCUGGGAACUGCAUUCGAAACUGGCAGGCUUGAGUCUUGUAGAGGGGGGUAGAAUUCCAGGUGUAGCGGUGAAAUGCGUAGAGAUCCGGAGGAAUACCGGUGGCGAAGGCGGCCCCCUGGACAAAGACUGACGCUCAGGUGCGAAAGCGUGGGGAGCAAACAGGAUUAGAAGCCCCAGUAGUCCCAUGA